UACGUAGGGUGCAAGCGUUAAUCGGAAUUACUGGGCGUAAAGCGUGCGCAGGCGGUGAUGUAAGACAGUUGUGAAAUCCCCGGGCUCAACCUGGGAACUGCAUCUGUGACUGCAUCGCUGGAGUGCGGCAGAGGGGAUGGAAUUCCGCGUGUAGCAGUGAAAUGCGUAGAUAUGCGGAGGAACACCGAUGGCGAAGGCAAUCCCCUGGGCCUGCACUGGACGCUCAUGCACGAAAGCGUGGGGAGCAAACAGG
rnacentral:rRNA from 1 species